UGAUGGCACUGUUGAUGGCCUGGUCGAUGACGUGAGGCUGGAUCAGCUCGCCUGCUCCUCCGUCAUAAGAGAGGUCCGACAGACGUUUGUCACCUGAAGAGAAAGAGAGACAGAAGGGCAGGGUGAGCGAUAAAAGUCUUCGUCUUUUCUGUGCGGAUGGAAAAGCUGCAGGGACGCGGGAGGUCGCCGCACUACAAGCCGGAUGAUGCGGCGUCUCCGGGGCGGAGAACGAUCCAGCAGCCUGUGGGGAGGGUUUCACAGCAGAGUGACACUCCAUCUCUCCAUGCUCCCCCUGCCCCACCGACUUCUGGCGCUCUGAUCGAACAAGAGCCUUUCAGACUCAGCCUGCCAGCUCCGUAAUGCACCAUUGCCUAGGUCAAUUUGAUCUGAAAAUCUCAUUUUUUCCUCUUCUUCGUCUCUAAAAUAAGAGCGGCACAUCACAAUGCAAAUUCAGCCUCAUUUGAAUAAAGCGAAGGAAACACUUUGUGUUGAGAGCCAGUCUUCCUGAUCAGCGCUUCUGGAAUAAACCAAUAUCCAUCCUC